AAAAAAUUAAAUGUUAAAAUUUUUAAUUUAUUAUAAUUGAAAUCUCUACUUAUUAAACAAAAUAUUACAAAAGUAGGUAUUGCAAGACUAAGUUCCUCUGACACUCUCAUGUGCUUUGUCCAAGGUCCUUAACAACACUGAAGCGGACUGAGUUCAGAACUUUGGGGUGCUCAUGCGUGUCUCAGGAGCUAACUCUUACUUGGAUAUGAAAGGUCCAUGUCUAAGCUGCUGAGACUGUCAUGUGUACCAGAUUUCCUCACUGGGCUAACUCAGUGCUUUGGAGGGUCUGAGUUUAUUAAUGCUUCAGUUACAAGUAAGGAAAUACAAAGAUAAAGGAACCCAACGUGGCCAGGCCCUGAGGAAGGCACGGCCCAGAGAAAGUGGUGAAAGGAGAGUCGAAGUGCGUGUCCCGGGAGAAAGCUCCUCCACAUUCUGAAGAUUUGUAAGUGACUCUGAAAAUCAAAUUGUGACUUUGAAGUUGAGAAGGAAUUUUUAAUUUGACAGCAACUGUAGCAAGUGAUGGAGUUCAGAGAGCCCAGGUUUGAGCAGGGGACAGGAACAGGUAGAAUGGGCAUCAGAGGUAGAGAAGCAAUCAGGAAUCAAACUGUCAACCCAACUAAACAAUUUGGGAAGUGCGGAGACCCAAGUUAGACACAGACUGUGAAGAAGGAGUUAUCAAAGAGAAGCUAUGGAUUUUUUUUUUCAGGCCUUCUUUUUUGAAAAAAAAAAUUUAGUUGUAGAUGGACACAAUACCUUUAUUUAUUUAUUUUUGGCGCCGUGCUGAGGAUCGAACCCAGUGCCUCACACUUGCAAGGCAAGUGCUCUACCACUGAGCUCCAACCCCUGCCCUCAGGCCUUCUUUUUGAUAAUUCCUUCUUGAGAUGUGUACAGGUAAAUAAAAACUAUUAAAGCCUUACAUGACUGUCACCCCUAUUAGACCUAUUUUAGGUAUACUUCUGCUACUUUUUUAACCUCUUAAUAAAGUUUGUAUCUUCCAGACUGCAGUACUUGCAUUGGUAAGAUGAAGGUAAGGCAAAGAUCCCAACCCAUAUCAACUGAGAUACAGGUGAUCAGGCAGGCAGAGGCUUCAUUUCCCUGGCUAAGCAAGGUCAUUGCUCCUUGCCAGCUUGAGCAGCCAUAAAAGAUGGAUCUUUUCCCUUCAUCAAUCCUUAGGAAUAAGAGAUUGCAAGUCUUGGGGGCUGGGAAAUGAGAUAGGAACUUGGGAAAACAGAAAAAGAAAGAUAGUAGACUGAGUCUCAAAAGAGAAGCUCUUGUAAGUCAUUGGAAUGCAGAAAUGGAUCUUGGAAAUGCAAAGCAAGCAUUCCUCAGCAACCCAGUCCAAGUCCUUACCCUCCACCCAUGGCCAGUGCCCUGGACCCAUGUCUUUGCAUGCAAAAUGUAAUGUGUUAAUACGUAGGCAAAGGGAAAAAGAAGAACUUUCAGAUAGGGCCCCUAUGGCAGGUUUAAACUUGCUGGAACAAUUGGAUCCUAUUGAACUUAAUUCUUCCCUAUAGGUUAGAGAACGCAGCACUCUAUAGUUAUAUAAAUUAUAACUAACAUUCAUCUAAAGAAAAUUUGUUUGAAACAUGUGAGAUCAUAAGUAUUAAUUGAUGGGUAAAGAUGUUAUGUUGCAAGGCAUUGAGAAAAUUAUAUAAACUACCUGAAGAGAUAAGGUUAGGGGGAAAAAAGACCUUGGUGAAGCAGCAUCAAUUUGAGGGAAAGUAACAGAACAUAUAAUAUAUUCAGGUGAAAAUAGAAUCCACAUUAAGAGUGAUAUCAGUUGUAAUGUCUUCUUAAACAUCUUUUACCUCAGGAUUUCUCCCUUAUUCCUGCUUUUCUAGGAGGUUGCAUCAUGGAUGAAUGUUGACCUUUUUCAAAUAGUUUUUUUUUUUUUCUGCAUCAAUUGAGAAAAUCAUAUUGCUUUUUCCUUUAUUCUGUUAACAUGAUGAAUUAUAUUAAAUCUCAAAAUUCAAACCAACCUUGCAUUCCUGUAAUAAGCCCUUCUGAUCUUGUUUUAUUAUCUGAUAUAUAUGACUUAGAUUUAUCAUUUUAUUGAACUUUUAAAGCCAUAUUUGUAAAGAAUAUUUGCCUUUUGUGUAUCCACUCCCUUUUGUUCCUUUUAUUUCACAAUGUCCAUGCAGCAUUUUAUCAUCAGUGAAAAGAGACUCCUAGUAUGAAUCAAAGGUUUUCAUUGUUCUCCAUUUUCUGAGUUUUUGAAAAGAGAGAACAGUUUUUCUUCCUCAGAGGUUUGAUAGAAUUCACCUGCUAAGCCAUCUGAACCUCAGAAUUUUUU
rnacentral:lncRNA from 1 species